rnacentral:rRNA from 1 species
AUGGCUGGAUUCGCUGAUGCACUGAGGCCGGAUAAGUUUACCGGUGUGCACUUUAAGAGGUGGCAGGUGAAGACCACGCUCUGGCUUACUGCUCUGAAAGUUUUCCACGCUAGUGUUGGUGCUCCAGAGGGAAUGACCGACGAAGAUCGGAGAAAAUUUCAGGAAGCCAAUACUAUGUUUGUGGGAUGCAUUCUGAGUGUUCUUGCUGACCGUCUGUGUGAGUUUUCAUGA